GGACUGGAAGGAAGCAGCAUCCAGGGCAUACCGGCCAGUGCUUGAUGAGC
rnacentral:SRP_RNA from 1 species